AUAAGCCUCAGAGGAAACAGAAAUACUGAUGCAUGCUUCACGUUUUUAUUCCCAGCCUGUAUCCCCUACCAAGCCCUGGGAAAUCAACAGAAACGGCUGAUCUGAACCUGGAGCUCGGGUCUGGAAAGGGUCCAUACUGCUCAGCUUGAAACCUCGGUACCAAGAAAUAGCUCUGUGCUCUGAGGAGCCUAAUCUUGCCAUGAUGGUCGGUUCACUGUGCUGCCAACAACUAGGCCAAGAACGGCCUUUGGCUCUCGGCCGAAAAUCAGCCUGCCCACCAGAGGGAACUCUACAGAACACUGCAAUCAAUUCCACCCAAAUGCUGGUCUGCACUGUGAUGGCUCAAUAAGAUGUUCCACUGUCCCUUUGGUUUUCUGAGAAAUGCUAUUCACCAUCUUCUCUGCUUCCAUGGCACUUCCUGUGUACAAAUCAUGCAACACCUGCCCGUACUGCACAUUCACAAGACUCCCCUGAAGCCCUGGUAGAAACCUCGUAUUGUCAUCAUCAUAUCUCCAGGAUCCAGAAUAGAGAAUGAAUCCUA
rnacentral:lncRNA from 1 species